rnacentral:sRNA from 1 species
ACGGGGGAAGCCCGUCUGAGAGCGCUGCCA